rnacentral:rRNA from 1 species
AAUGAACGCUGGCGGCGCGCCUAAUACAUGCAAGUCGAGCGAGAAGACGUAGCAAUACGUUUGUAAAGCGGCGGACGGGUGAGGAAUACAUGGGUAACCUACCCUCGAGUGGGGAAUAACUAGCCGAAAGGUUAGCUAAUACCGCGUACGCUCCUUGGACUUCGGUUCAGGGAGGAAAGCGAUACCGUGGGUAUCGCGCUCUUGGUUGGGCUCAUGUCCUAUCAGCUUGUUGGUGAGGUAACGGCUCACCAAGGCUUCGACGGGUAGCUGGUCUGAGAGGACGAUCAGCCACACUGGCACUGCGACACGGGCCAGACUCCUACGGAGGCAGCAGUAAGGAAUAUUGCGCAAUGGGCGAAAGCCUGACGCAGCGACGCCGCGUGGGGGA